rnacentral:rRNA from 1 species
AUGCAUGUCUAAGCAUAAGCCGAUAAAUGGUGAAGCCGCGAAUAGCUCAUUACAACAGCCAUAGUUUAUUGGAUCUUCUCUCUACUUGGAUACCUGUGGUAAUUCUAGAGCUAAUACACGCACGAAAGCCUCGACUUCGGAAGGGGCGCAUUUAUUAGAACAAAACCAAUCGGGCUUGCCCGUCKUUUGGUGAAUCUGAAUAACUCAGUUGAUCGCACAGUCCUCGAACUGGCGACGUAUCUUUCAAGUGUCUGCCUUAUCAACUUUCGAUGGUAGUUUACAUGACUACCAUGGUUGUAACGGGUAACGGAGAAUAAGGGUUCGACUCCGGAGAGGGAGCCUGAGAAACGGCUACCACAUCCAAGGAAGGCAGCAGGCGCGCAAAUUACCCACUCUCAGUACGAGGAGGUAGUGACGAAAAAUAACGAGACGGUUCUCUAUGAGGUCCGUCAUCGGAAUGGGUACAAUUUAAACCCUUUAACGAGGAUCUAUUGGAGGGCAAGUCUGGUGCCAGCAGCCGCGGUAAUUCCAGCUCCAAUAGCGUAUACUAAAGUUGUUGCGGUUAAAAAGCUCGUAGUUGGAUCUGCGGUCUCGCGUGCCGGUGAAUCCUCAGGAUUUUACUGGUUUCGCAGGCCUACCUCGCUGGUUUUCCCUUGGUCCUCUUUACUGAGUGCCYUGGGUGACCAGCAAGUUUACUUUGAAAAAAUUAGAGUGCUCAAAGCAGGCGCGUAGCCUGAAUAGUGGUGCAUGGAAUAAUGGAAUAGGACCUUGGUUCUAUUUUGUUGGUUUUCGGAACGCGAGGUAAUGAUUAAGAGGGACAGACGGGGGCAUUCGUAUUGCUGCGUUAGAGGUGAAAUUCUUGGAUCGCAGCAAGACGGACAACUGCGAAAGCAUUUGCCAAGAAUGUUUUCAUUAAUCAAGAACGAAAGUUAGAG